GAUGAACGCUGGCGGCGUGCCUAACACAUGCAAGUCGAACGAAGCACCUUACCUGAUUCUUCGGAUGAAAGUUUGGUGACUGAGUGGCGGACGGGUGAGUAACGCGUGGGUAGCCUGCCCUGUACAGGGGGAUAACAGCUGGAAACGGCUGCUAAUACCGCAUAAGCGCACGAGGAGACAUCUCCUUGUGUGAAAAACUCCGGUGGUACAGGAUGGGCCCGCGUCUGAUUAGCUGGUUGGCAGGGUAACGGCCUACCAAGGCAACGAUCAGUAGCCGGUCUGAGAGGAUGAACGGCCACAUUGGAACUGAGACACGGUCCAAACUCCUACGGGAGGCAGCAGUGGGGAAUAUUGCACAAUGGGGGAAACCCUGAUGCAGCAACGCCGCGUGAGUGAAGAAGUAUUUCGGUAUGUAAAGCUCUAUCAGCAGGGAAGAUAAUGACGGUACCUGACUAAGAAGCUCCGGCUAAAUACGUG
rnacentral:rRNA from 1 species